rnacentral:rRNA from 1 species
AUUGAACGCUGGCGGCAGGCCUAACACAUGCAAGUCGAGCGGAUGAAGGGAGCUUGCUUCUGGAUUCAGCGGCGGACGGGUGAGUAAUGCCUAGGAAUCUGCCUGGUAGUGGGGGACAACGUGUCGCAAGGAACGCUCAUACCGCAUACGUCCUCCGGGAGAAAGCAGGGGCCCUUCGGGCCUUGCGCUAUCCGAUGAGCCUAGGUCGGAUUAGCUUGUUGGUGUGGUAAUGGCUCACUAAGGCGACGAUCCGUAACUGGUCUGAGAGGAUGAUCAGUCACACUGGAACGGAGACACGGUCCAGACUCCUACGGGAGGCAGCAGUGGGGAAUAUUGGACAAUGGGCGAAAGCCUGAUCCAGCCAUGCCGCGUGUGUGAAGAAGGUCUUCGGAUUGUAAAGCACUUUAAGUUGGGAGGAAGGGUUGUAGAUUAAUACUCUGCAAUUUUGACGUUACCGACAGAAUAAGCACCGGCUAACUCUGUGCCAGCCGCCGCGGUAACAC